rnacentral:lncRNA from 1 species
GACAGCAGAGAGAAGAGUCUCUUUUAGACAGCCAUCACUAGUCCCUCAGUCAUCCAUCAAGUGUCUAUGCGCUGGCACCUGAGAGCCCUCCUGGAUGGGCCUGCCCUCACCCGCAGCGGCAG